rnacentral:rRNA from 1 species
AUGAACGUUGGCGGUGUGCCUAAUACAUGCAAGUCGAACGAAGAUGAUAGCAAUAUUGUCUUAGUGGCGAACGGGUGAGUAACGCGUUGGUGACCUGCCCCGAAGUGUGGAAUAACAAUUCGAAAGAAUUGCUAAUACCGCAUGUGAUCUUGGAGAUUAGAACCUCUUUGAUUAAAGGAUUUAUUCGCUUCGGGAGGGGCCUGCGUCCCAUCAGCUAGUUGGUAGGGUAAUGGCCUACCAAGGCUUUGACGGGUAGGGGACCUGAGAGGGUGGCCCCCCACAAUGGAACUGAAACACGGUCCAUACACCUACGGGUGGCAGCAGUAGGGAAUAUUGGACAAUAGGCGAAAGCCUGAUCCAGCAAUGCCGCGUGCACGAUGAAGGUCUUCGGAUUGUAAAGUGAUUUUAGAAGGGAUGAGUAAGGACAGUACCUUCUGAAUAAGCCUCGGCGAACUACGU